rnacentral:rRNA from 1 species
CUAUGUGUUGUUGGGUAGGGGAGCGUUCUGUAAGCCUGUGAAGGUGUGCUGUGAGGUAUGCUGGAGGUAUCAGAAGUGCGAAUGCUGACAUAAGUAACGAUAAAGCGGGUGAAAAGCCCGCUCGCCGGAAGACCAAGGGUUCCUGUCCAACGUUAAUCGGGGCAGGGUGAGUCGACCCCUAAGGCGAGGCCGAAAGGCGUAGUCGAUGGGAAACAGGUUAAUAUUCCUGUACUUGGUGUUACUGCGAAGGGGGGACGGAGAAGGCUAUGUUGGCCGGGCGACGGUUGUCCCGGUUUAAGCGUGUAGGCUGGUUUUCCAGGCAAAUCCGGAAAAUCAAGGCUGAGGCGUGAUGACGAGGUACUACGGUGCUGAAGCAACAAAUGCCCUGCUUCCAGGAAAAGCCUCUAAGCAUCAGGUAACAUCAAAUCGUACCCCAAACCGACACAGGUGGUCAGGUAGAGAAUACCAAGGCGCUUGAGAGAACUCGGGUGAAGGAACUAGGCAAAAUGGUGCCGUAACUUCGGGAGAAGGCACGCUGAUAUGUAGGUGAAGUCCCUUGCGGAUGGAGCUGAAAUCAGUCGAAGAUACCAGCUGGCUGCAACUGUUUAUUAAAAACACAGCACUGUGCAAACACGAAAGUGGACGUAUACGGUGUGACGCCUGCCCGGUGCCGGAAGGUUAAUUGAUGGGGUUAGCGGUAACGCGAAGCUCUUGAUCGAAGCCCCGGUAAACGGCGGCCGUAACUAUAACGGUCCUAAGGUAGCGAAAUUCCUUGUCGGGUAAGUUCCGACCUGCACGAAUGGCGUAAUGAUGGCCAGGCUGUCUCCACCCGAGACUCAGUGAAAUUGAACUCGCUGUGAAGAUGCAGUGUACCCGCGGCAAGACGGAAAGACCCCGUGAACCUUUACUAUAGCUUGACACUGAACAUUGAGCCUUGAUGUGUAGGAUAGGUGGGAGGCUUUGAAGUGUGGACGCCAGUCUGCAUGGAGCCGACCUUGAAAUACCACCCUUUAAUGUUUGAUGUUCUAACGUUGGCCCCUGAUCGGGGUUGCGGACAGUGUCUGGUGGGUAGUUUGACUGGGGCGGUCUCCUCCUAAAGAGUAACGGAGGAGCACGAAGGUUGGCUAAUCCUGGUCGGACAUCAGGAGGUUAGUGCAAUGGCAUAAGCCAGCUUGACUGCGAGCGUGACGGCGCGAGCAGGUGCGAAAGCAGGUCAUAGUGAUCCGGUGGUUCUGAAUGGAAGGGCCAUCGCUCAACGGAUAAAAGGUACUCCGGGGAUAACAGGCUGAUACCGCCCAAGAGUUCAUAUCGACGGCGGUGUUUGGCACCUCGAUGUCGGCUCAUCACAUCCUGGGGCUGAAGUAGGUCCCAAGGGUAUGGCUGUUCGCCAUUUAAAGUGGUACGCGAGCUGGGUUUAGAACGUCGUGAGACAGUUCGGUCCCUAUCUGCCGUGGGCGCUGGAGAACUGAGGGGGGCUGCUCCUAGUACGAGAGGACCGGAGUGGACGCAUCACUGGUGUUCGGGUUGUCAUGCCAAUGGCACUGCCCGGUAGCUAAAUGCGGAAGAGAUAAGUGCUGAAAGCAUCUAAGCACGAAACUUGCCCCGAGAUGAGUUCUCCCUGACCCUUUAAG